rnacentral:rRNA from 1 species
UUGACAUCCCGAUGCUAUUCUAGAGAUAGAAAGUUACUUCGGUACAUCGGUGACAGGUGGUGCAUGGUUGUCGUCAGCUCGUGUCGUGAGAUGUUGGUUAAGUCCCGCAACGAGCGCAACCCCUAUUGUUAGUUGCCAUCAUUCAGUUGGGCACUCUAGCGAGACUGCCGGUAAUAAACCGGAGGAAGGUGGGGAUGACGUCAAAUCAUCAUGCCCCUUAUGACCUGGGCUACACACGUGCUACAAUGGUUGGUACAACGAGUUGCGAGUCGGUGACGGCGAGCUAAUCUCUUAAAGCCAAUCUCAGUUCGGAUUGUAGGCUGCAACUCGCCUACAUGAAGUCGGAAUCGCUAGUAAUCGCGGAUCAGCACGCCGCGGUGAAUACGUUCCCGGGCCUU